UUCGAUCACCGAAGUUAAGCAUCGUAGAGCCAGGUCAGUACUUAGAUGGGGGACCGCUUGGGAACACCUGGUACUGUAAGC
rnacentral:rRNA from 1 species